GAUGAACGCUGGCGGCGUGUCUAAGGCAUGCAAGUCGAACGGACUGUUAUUUGUAGCAAUACUUAGAACAGUUAGUGGCAAACGGGUGCGUAACACAUUGGUAACCUGCCUCAAAGUCGGGCAUAAUCCCGCGAAAGUGGGACUAAUUCCACGAUAGUCAUCGAAGGUGAGAUUCCUUCGAUGUAAAGUCGCAAGACGCUUUGAGAGGGGCCUAUGGCCUAUCAGCUUGUUGGUGAGGUAACGGCUCACCAAGGCUAUGACGGGUAGGGGGUGUGAGAGCACGACCCCCCUCACUGGGACUGAGACACUGCCCAGACACCUACGGGUGGCUGCAGUCGAGAAUAUUCCCCAAUGGCCGAAAGGCUGAGGGAGCGACGCCGCGUGCAGGAAUAAGGCC
rnacentral:rRNA from 1 species